UGUUCUCGAUUGAUCCGGCCUAGUCCUUCAGGGAGCGAAGGAAGACUCCGGCAGUCCGGCUCGAGGCUGCCUCCGCCGCGCCCGACUCGUUCUUCUCCGGCAGUCCGGCUCUCCCCCGGUUCGUCUCUCUCUCUCUCUCUCUCUCUCUCUCUCUCUCUCUCUCUCUCUCUCUCUCUCUCUCUCUCUCUCUCUCUCUCUCUCUCUCUCUGCGUUGGGCGGACGGCGCGGCAUCGAAGGUUUGCGUCAGGACACGCGGGGGCGAAACGGCGUCGGGGAGUCGAGCAGGCCGUAUCCUCGGAGGCUCAGACCCGGCGUUGACAGGAUCUAAGGCGGCGGCCACCCUCAGAUCGGGCGUCCCGAGAAUCAAGCCGGCGGUUCCUAUCCCCUUCGGUCGGGCUAUGGGAGAAACUACCGAAGCCUCUGCAACUGGCCUGGAUUCAUUCAUCGGAACUUAUACGAGUCCCAGCUGGUCAGGCCUCCCGACUGAUAUCCUCCUCAGCAUCCUGCAGUGCCUUGAGCUCCCACAAGCAAUUGUUUUUGCCUUAGUCUGCAAGUCAUGGCGCUCAGCAGCAACUGUUGCUGGCAUCCCACAUUCUGGCACACCAUGGCUCAUGUCUUGGCGGGACCUCCUUGAAGAAAGGAAAGACCAGGUUAAGGGCAGCUCAGCCGUGACCUGCAAGUUCCGCCAUCUCCUUGACGUUGACAAGGUUUAUGAUGGCCAUGUUUGUUUUAGAUUCCUGCAUCUUCUGCUACUCAAACUAGCUCGAAAAGCUACAAUCUGCCCCAAACAGCUUUGCUUUUCC